rnacentral:rRNA from 1 species
CCUACGGGAGGCAGCAGUGGGGAAUAUUGGACAAUGGGGGAAACCCUGAUCCAGCGACGCCGCGUGAGUGAAGAAGUACUUCGGUAUGUAAAGCUCUAUCAGCAGGAAAGAAAAUUACGGUACCUGACUAAGAAGCCCCGGCUAACUACGUGCCAGCAGCCGCGGUAAUACGUAGGGGGCAAGCGUUAUCCGGAUUUACUGGGUGUAAAGGGAGCGUAGACGGCAGCGCAAGUCUGGGGUGAAAUGCCGGGGCCCAACCCCGGAACUGCCUUGGAAACUGGGAAGCUGGAGUGCAGGAGAGGUAAGCGGAAUUCCUGGUGUAGCGGUGAAAUGCGUAGAUAUCAGGAGGAACACCGGCGGCGAAGGCGGCUUACUGGACUGUAACUGACGUUGAGGCUCGAAGGCGUGGGGAGCAAACAGGAUUAGAUACCCUGGUAGUC